GUCCUGGCUGUAAACGGUGCACGUUUGCUGUAAAAGGAAUCGACCCCUUUUGUGGCGAAGCUAACGCGAUAAACGUGCCGCCUGGGAAGUACGGUCGCAAGAUUAAAACUCAAAGAAAUUGACGGGGCCUGCACAAGCGGUGGAGUAUGUGGCUUAAUUCGAUGCAACGCGAAGAACCUUACCUGGCCUUGACAUGCAAGUGGUAGGACCAUGAAAGUGGGACGACCCCGCAAGGGGAGCUUGCACAGGUGCUGCAUGGCUGUCGU
rnacentral:rRNA from 1 species